GCCGGGUGUAGUGGCGUGCACCUGUAAUCCGGCUUCUCGGAGGCUUGGGUUGAGGGAUCGCACGAGGACGGAUCAGCUGCUCCACACCUUGCUAUGUCGAUCGGGCGUCCACACCAAGCUCGGCAUCGACAUGGGGAGCCGGGGGUAGUCCUGUGCUCUCCAGGUCGGUCUCCUAAGGAGGGAUGAACCGACCCAGGCCGGUAACGGAGCAGGUCAAAGUCCCCGUGUUGAUCAGUGGUGGGACAGCGCUCGUGAAUAGAGGGUGUGGAGCGGCCCGGUCUCAGGGCGAAACACAAUCCUU
rnacentral:SRP_RNA from 1 species